GGUAUUGUAGUUUAUAUAUAAAUAUUUGAUUCUUCUCAUAGCACUUCACCAAUCUUUGCAUAUACCUUUAUUUCUUCAAAGCACUUUUCCUUUACCUUUACCUGCUAUGACUCCUCAGAGGGAUUGAUGUUUAGAUUUGAUUCGCAACGAUGCUUCUCUUUUUCUUCUCCUUCUUACUGGGAAAGCCUUUUCUUUCAUUCGCUUCAAUUGAAAAGGAUGUGUUUUAAUCCCAACAUUUCUUCCAGUUUUCCUCGAUCUACGGUUUCUUCUUAAAGCAUCAUUUCUUGUUCUUUUUUGACACUAUGUUUUUCACAGGUGUAUUACUUUUUCUUUUUUUUUUCAAUUUGGUUCUUGAGGAACGAGUUCAUCCACUGAAAGGUCCUCGUUUACCGAAAUCAAACAUGAAUUUGCGCAUAAAAUCUCUAUUUUUCUCUUACCCACAUCUCGUGCUGUCAUUAAUCUGUACUCCUAAUUAAUUAGUCUCUAUGUAAUAUGUUCCCUUUUGCAGUUUGUGUUUGGAAAAUUUUCCGUUAGAUUUGGCUUUUCUCUGUGAAACUUGUGGCUUUUGUUAAGUAGUUUUGGACGAGGGUGGCAAAAUGAUAUCAUAGGUUGUCUUCAUAGUUUGUUUAAGGAGGUUUUGUUGGUAGCUAUAGAUGCAUGGAGAGUUUGCCAGUCGUUAUUUGCGGAUGUAGCAUCAUCAAGAUUCACAUGCAAACGCAGGUGGGUGGGACUGUGAUGCAAUCUGAGAGCUGUAGGCCAACCAUGCCAUAGGUCUUUUGGAAGUGAGAAUCUUGAUGAUGCUGCAUCAGCCAUAAACGACUACUUUCAAAAGUUGGAUAAGGACUAUUCUAAUAAUCUCAACAAGUGGGCCAAAAAUAUAUAUAUAAAAAAAAGGAAAAAAAAAGAGAAAUGAGAAACAUUUGUUGAGGUAUACUCACAUGACACAGCAAAACAAAACCCCCUUCAGACAUGAUCUGAUCUGCGCGUUUAAACCGAGAGGCAACCUUUCCCACUUUGCUUUUUUGUUGCUGUCAGACAAUCCUAGGUUUUCAAGUAUAGGCUAUUUGGAGGCCGAGAGGAGCGGCUGUUGGGUCCUUUAUAUGUGCUGACUUCACAGAUCUAUGAUGAAUAUUCCUUUCCAACAGAAAUGCUGGGAUCUAAAUGGUGUCUUUUCAGUUUCUAAAUAUAGAUGCAGAUACCACUUUAUCCAAAUCCGGAGAGAAUGUUAGAGACUCACUCAAGCACACAGAAAGUUAAAAUUAUUAUUUGGAAUUUAGGGUGUACUCAGAAGCUAGUGUUGAUGCUCAUAAGUGACGUUUCGAGCGUAUAGAGUGAAUGAAAACGUGAUAGGAUUUUGCUUUGGCUUUAGCUUUGGUAUGAACAAUGUUGAAGGCUUUGGCUUUAGAACGAACCAAUAAUCAGUUGUAGCUGCGGUUGGUGGACCAAGGACUUCACACAAGUUGGACUCUCUAAGUGAUCAUUCAGUAUAUUCAAGAUUUUAUCUUAUGGAAAUCUGUGUGCCCCCAUCACUGUCCAACUCUUGGUCAUAUUCUCGCUGCUCCAUCAUUAUGAAUAUGUUGUGUACACUGUCUUUGCCCGAAACAGCUUGCCCUAUUUCUUUGUAGAGAAGGCUGUGGAUCAUACAUGCAUCAGGCCCACUCAUCUUCUUGUUCUCUCUCUUCAUAGGGAGCACAUGGAUCAUUUAAAUCCUUGUUUUCAGGCAGAAGUAGCACGUGAGGAUAAGUUGUGGCUUCUGCGUCAAAAUGGACAUAAUCACAUGCCACUGUGAAGUACUGCAUACAUUGCUUCCAUUAUUGAGUGUGUGGUUGUAUCUCCUUUGGCAAGGAGAAAAACAAAUGGAAUCCUUUCAGUUUGUCUGUAAUAUUCUAUAUUCUAUAGCUAUCAUGAAGGAUUCAUUUGUUUGAAGUAAGAUGCUAUAGCACACUGUUUUGUUUGACCCUAAGUUUUAUAUACUUUGAUAUGUGGUACAAAAUGUUCUGACGAGAUUCCCGUAUCACGUCAUGUUGCUGAGGUACACAUUGAUUUUCAUGCAAACAUAUUGUGGAAAGGAAGAACUGAUAUAGUUCUUCAGCUUUUACUAUUUUUCGCCUUCAAAUCUUCAAUUGCUAUUCUGUAAAUAUGAAUAUAGAGAUAAACAUAUUUGACCACGUUUACUCUAUUGGAACUAUCUGCUGAGUGAAGUGAAUUCUCUUUUUCACAUCAUUCAUAUUGGGAUCUAUCAUUGAAAUAGUGACAAGAUUUAGACAGU